GGGAAGUGUACGAGACGGCAGCAGAUCGGACAGUGGUCCAAUUGAAGAAACAGGCGCCAUUGAUGCGACAGCGACACAUCAAACUUUCUCCAACCAGUAUAGAGAAGGUACAGCAGCGCUAAAGCCUUUCAUCGCAGAAUCUCCUCACUUUUUUCACCUUUUUUUUACCGUCGGCGAUUCAUUCGCGCUGAGAAUCAAAUUGAUUAGGAGAGGCGAGUAAGUGUAAAAGCAAGUAAGACAGAGAAUCAAUUGAGACUAGAGUGGAUGAUCAAAGCGCCUUUAUACUUUCCAGAUGAGAGGGCAAAACAGUCAUUUUACGAUUCAUGGCCUACGACAUGAAGAAUAAUGGUUCGUUUCUUUAAUAAAAAUUUGAAAAAUAAAUAAAUAAAUUAUUUGGGUUUUAAAGUUCGGACUUAAUAUUUUGGGUUUGCAAAAAAUCGGAUCUAUCUGACCGAAACAGAAAAAAUUUAUGGCAUGUUUGGAUCGGUUUCGAAUAGAAUUGAUAAUUUGAAAUUUAAAAAUCAGGUUGGAUUUCAAAUUUCGGAUUUACUUGAAAUUAUUAUUAUUUAUUAUUUUAAUUUAUAAUAUAUAUUAUAUUAAAUAUAAAAUAAUAUAAACAAAUUAAAUUAAAAUUAAUUCCUUUUAGGAAAAUUUAAUUUAUGUAGGUUCGUGUCAGUUUGUUCUGGUGUCGGUGAUCAAUAACUAAUUAGGUCAACCUGAACCUGACUCGAAAAAAUUAGUGUCGUAUUCGGGUUUAGUGUUUAGGGUCAAAUUUUGAGUUUGGGUUGAAUUCGAAUUGACAACUUUUUGUUAUCCCCGUAGCUUAACCCGACACGAAUACAAUCCAAAAAUACGAAUCGACACCCGUAUAUUCGGCACAAUAAUAGUAUUUUUUAUAAGAUAUUUUCUCUUAAAAUGUAGAAUUUAAAUAGUAAUAUUUGAAAAUUUUGCAUUACAAAUAUAUAUUUUAUACGUUCAUCAAAUUUAUAACUAUUUUUCUAUUUCGCUUAUAUAUAACACUAUAAAUAUUUUAUUCUUAGCAAAUAAUUAUUACACACUAUUGA